CCUCAACCCCGUUUCCAUCUGGGCGGGCUGGGGGGCGGGAGCGGGCGCGGGUGGGACGCGAACGGCCAAUGGGAGCACCGAAAGAGGGCCGGGAGGCGGGCUCUGCGGCCGGCCGGCCCAAGCAGGAAAGUUCAACCAAUGGGCGCGCGCCCCACAUCCCGGGCUCAGGAGCGCCUCUCUGGCCGCUAGCGUUCCGGCGGGUCGCGCCCAGGGCCACACCCGGCUGGCGGUGGCGCGGGAGAGGUACCCGCUGGAAGGGUGGGAGAAUGCGGCGAGGCCCGUGCGGGGAGCGCGGGCGGCCAUUGUGGCGUGCUCCCGCACCGCCUACGCGGGGUCUGUGAGCCGGGAGCUGUCGCUCGGUGGUGGACUCCCGGAACCUCGGCGCGAUGCUUUGUAGGGAGCGAGCAGAGCGUGCGCCUCGUCCAGCCCCGUGGACCAAAUCAGGCCGCAGUGCAAAACUUCCCGCUGCUUGAACAGAUGACAAUGGACAAGAGCCAGAGGAUGGACUUUGCAAUCCUUUCCUUUUACCUCCACCUCCAGGAAGAUUUUUCAUUUCUGGGGGAGCUAUAUGACCUAUUUUCUUUUACCAACUGGCUUCCAGACUUCACACCCAGCAGGGAGCCCAAGGCAGGCUUAACUCAAGACCCUGAGAUCAAGAUCUGAGCUGAGAUCAAGAGCUGGAUACUUAACCAACUGAGCCACCUAGGCACCCCCAACUGUUUCAUCUUCAAAUGAAGUUUUUGGGUGAUGGUCUUUUCAAAAGUCAGCUUUAAUGAGAUAUUAUUUGCAUAUACAGUUUGCCAUUUUUAAGGUAAUUAGAUGAGUUCUGAAAAAUGUAUAUUGUCUUGUAACCCCCACCACCAUCAUCAAGGUAUAGAACACUUCAUUUCCAUCCCCACAAGACUUCCUUCCUGCCUCUUUUUAGGCACUCUCCUUCCCUUAUUCCCAGCCCUUGAACAACACAGACCUGAUUUUCAUCACUACAGUUUUGCCUUUUUAAAAAAUUUGUCUGUUGUUUUCGAAAUUCAUCAACACGUACACAUCAGUAAUCUAUUGCUGAAGAGUAUGUCGUUGCAUGAAUAUAUGACAAUUUUUUUCUGUCAGUUGAUGACCAUUUGGGUUGUUCCCAGGUUUAUGCUUUUAAUUUUUAUUAAAAGUCUACUAUUGUCAGCAAGGCUUCUUGCUCACCUGUACACCCCAUCAAUUAAAACCAGAAAUAGACAAGACCGCUUAACUCAUGCUCGAACUAAAGACCAUUGUGCUUAUUUCUUAUCGCACUUUUUUGAAGCAUUGAUGGAGAUGUUUUGCAACGACCAGAAUAUUCCAACUGUGGUGUUUAAAUGUGGUGUCUGUCCAAUCAGAUGGGAGCCCCCAAAUGUGGGGCAAUGAUUGGGUGGAGACAGGUGGCAGAGAGGUGAAAGAAUUCACCCAAAGCAGAACAAAGGUGAUAGAAGUUUAUUGAAUACACCAAAAGGGAGCUGCGGGCAGGACAGCAGAGGAGAUGCUAUCUGCCAGGAGGCGGUGUGUGGGGACUGUUUUUAAAGAAGGACGGUGGGGAAGUAUGGCAAUGAACAGAAUUUUCCCUUUUUUUGGUGACUGCGUCUGGCUUCAAGUAGCCCAUUGGUUAGUUAGGGACUAUGGGUAUUUUGGGGUGGGUCACCUGAGGGGCCUGCCUGUAUUCAACCAGGGGGUUGCUCUGGGCCCUUUUCUACAUUCCAUUGCUCUAGCCUGUUUGCCUAAAAGGGGCCUCUAUACCAGACACCAGACCAAAAAAGCUCUGAUAACAAUGGAAUGCCUACAAGACCACAUCCCACACAUUCCCUCCCCUGCCCAGGAUCAUGGGCUGAACACCUAUCGACCUUCACCCAUGAUCACGUGCUCUCUGCCUACUCUCUUUGCAUGUACCCACCUGAACCUCACCUUAUAAAACUCUAGAUGUCCAUCUUGCCCACAGAGAGGUUGGUUGUUAAAGCUUGAGCCUGCCACCUCCCCAUCUCUGGCUGCCAGCACCUGAAAUAAAUUUCUCCCUUUAUGUUUUCCUUGAGGUAUUGGCACCUCUAAGUUUAUCUAAGUUUGAGUUUAUCUAAAUUUGUUUGGCAACAGUGUUGGCAAACCCAGCAAGGAGCUAUGCUUUGAUUUGUCCAGCCUUCUGGGGAUUUCCUGGGAAGGAGCAGUUGAUCUUGGCAAUGCCAAGGGGCCCUGGGGCUUUCCCAAGUUAGUGGUGGUGAUGGAUCAGUGACCCUAUGAAUACUCAUAUACAAGUCUUUGAGUGAACAUGUUUUCAUUUCUCUUAGGUAAAUACUUAUAAGUGGGAUUUCUGAGUUAGAUUUAAGUGUACUUUAAUUCUAUAAUUAAUAAAAGUUUCUACAAACUUUUCUAAAGCGGCUAUAUUAUUUCUCUUUCCAGUUGGCAACAAAGAGUUGCAAUUGUCCUGCAUACUGUCAGUCUUAUUUUAACCAUUCUAAGGGGUUUGCAGAAGCACCCAACAGUGGCUUUAAUUUGCAUUUCCCUCAGCGAUAAUGAUGUUGAGUAUCUUUCCUUCUAUUUUGUUCCUCCAUGUAUCUUCUUUGGUCAAAGAAGAUAUCUUUAAAUCUUUCAGCCAUUUUUAAAAUUGAGUUGUUUGAAAGGCCCCUGGGUGGCUCAGUCGGUUGGAUAUUCUACUCUUGAUCUUGGCUCAGGUCGUGAUUCUAGGGUUGUGGGAUCGAGCCCUGAGUCGGGUUCUGUGCUGAGGUGGAGCCUACUUGGGAUUAUCUCUCUCUCCCUCUCCACUUGGCCCUCUCCCCCACCUUCUGUCUUUCUUUCUUUUUUUUUUUUUAAGGAAUGCUUUAAAAUUGAGUUGUUUGAAAAAAUAAAAUUGAUUUGUCUUAUUACUGAAUACUUGGUAUAUUCUGGGAAAAUGUCCCUAUCAGAUUUAUUUUUUCAAAUGUUUUCUCCCAGCCAGUUGCUUGCCUUUGUAACUACAUAAUAGUGUCAUUUGAAGAGAAAACCACUGACACAUAUGUAAACAGUCAAAUUCUUCAGAUCUCAUUUUCUUCACAUUUAAAAUGAGAUCUUUAGGUAAAUGUUCUUUUCUUUUUAUAAUGGCUUGAUUGAGAUAUAUUUCACAUAACCCAGAAUUCACCCUUUUAAUGUCACCAAUUCAGUGGUUUUUAGUAUGGUUCAGAGUUGUGUGACUGUCACCACUGUGUAAUUUCCAAAUAUUUUCAUCACCUCGAAAAGAAACCUUACAUCCAUUGGUAGUCAUUCCCCUCUUUCCCAGCACCUAAGAACCAUUAAUCUAAAUUCCGUCUCAAUGGGUAUACCUAUUUUGGACAUUUCAUAUGAAAGGAAGCAUACAAUAUUUGGUAUUUUAUGUCUAGCUUCUUUCAUUGAACAUGUCUUCUUUUUCUUAUUUUUUUUUUUUGAGGGGGACACAAAUCAGCUAGGAGCUCACUUUUUUGUUU